UGAUCAUCGUCAACAUUUUCCGUGUGUGUAUUCCUAACCACGGCAAUCCUACCUGGUCAGAGACGUUGUACCAGCUGUAGUUAAAGGCGCUGGGACGGUUCUCCGGAGAGAGAGCCACCACCACCAGGUUAUAGCCGGCCCUGGACGUGUAGAGCAGGAUGACUGCAGCACCUAUGGCAGUAGCUUGGCACACUGACGUACCCUACAGCGAAGACGUUGGACGAGGACAUCUUGGCAAUCUUGAAAAUGCACACAGCCAGCGAAAUGGCGCAGAGUACGAAGAGGCUGUCGUUGACCAGCACCCGGGCCAGCACCACCUGCCGCACCUCUGCCUCGCCCACCAUGCCACCCUGCACCAGCAUGGCACAUGUCAGGUUUACCACGAGGAAGAAAAGGCUGGCAAAGAUGAAUGCCAGAUGCAUGGUCAACCUGCGAAAAAACCCCACAAUUAUAGGUGGUACAAGAACUAGCUUACAAUACACAACAUUACAAUAAUUCUACACAACAAUAAAUUAAUAAAGCUUAAAACACCCCA